CAUUUUGGCGACUUUAAUAUACCAUUUCACCUAUGGGUGUAUGGUAUAAAAAUGGAAUAAUAGCGGGAAAAGAAGACCCUUUUGAGCUUGACUCUAAUCUGGCAGUGUAAGGAGACAUAAGAGGUGUAGAAUAAGUGGGAGAUAUUAUUCCUUUGUGUUUGAUAUCGCCAAUGAAAUACCACUACUCUUAUUGUUUCCUUACUUACUUGAUUAAAUGGAACGUGUAUCAUUUCCUAGCCAUUAUAAGGAUAUAUUUAUUAUAUCUUAUGGUAUUGGGUUUUGAUGCAAGCUUCUUGAUCAAAGUAUCACGAGUUUGUUAUAUAAUCGCAAACAAAUUCUUUAAUGAGAGAGUGCAUUUAUGUAUUUUUAAUUUGAAAUAUUUGGUAUAACUUCAAUUACUCAGGUAUGAUCCAAUUCAAGGACAUUGCCAGGCAGGGAGUUUGACUGGGGCGGUACACCUCUUAAAUAAUAACCGAGGUCUCCCAAGGCCACCUCAGUGCGGACAGAAACCACACAUAGAGCAAAAGGGCAAAUCAGCAUUUGAUCUCGGUGUUCAGUACACACAGGGACACCAAAAGCUCGGCCUAUAGAUCCUUUUGGGUUAAAGAGUUUUUAACAAGAUGUGCCAGAAAAGUUACCUUAGGGAGAACUGGCUUUUUGAUCCUUCGAUGUCGGCUCUUCCUAUCAUUGUGAAGCAAAAUUCACCAAGCGUUGGGAUUGUUCACAUGGGUGUGGGAACGUGAGCUGGGUUUAGACCGUCGUGAGACAGGUUAGUUUUACCCUACUAAUGACAAAACGUUGUUGCGACAGCAUUCCUGCGUAGUACGAGAGGAACCGCAGGUACGGACCAAUGGCACAAUACUUGUUCGAACGAACAGUGGUAUGACGCUACGUCCGUUGGAUUAUGCCUGAACGCCUCUAAGGUCGUAUCCGUGCUGGACUGCAAUGAUAAAUAAGGGGCAAUUUGCAUUGUAUGGCUUCUAAAUCAUUAAAAGUUUAUUUUAUAAACGACAAUGGAUGUGAUGCCAAUGUUAUUUGUAACAUAGUAAAUUGGGAGGAUCUUCGAUCACCUGAUGCCGCGCUAGUUACUUAUUAAAACAUUAUUUAAUACAAACGACAAAGCCUAGAAUCAAUUGUAAACGACUUUUGUAACAGGCAAGGUGUUGUAAGUGGUUGAGCAGCUGCCAUACUGCGAUCCACUGAAGCUUACCCUUUGCUUGAUGAUUCGA
rnacentral:ncRNA from 1 species